rnacentral:rRNA from 1 species
UACGAGGGGGGCGAGCGUUGUUCGGAAUUAUUGGGCGUAAAGGGUGCGUAGGCGGUUCCGCAAGUCCUGUGUGAAAUCUUCGGGCUCAACUCGAAGUCUGCACGGGAAACUGCGGGGCUUGAGUGUGGGAGAGGUGAGUGGAACUGCGAGUGUAGAGGUGAAAUUCGUAGAUAUUCGCAAGAACACCAGUGGCGAAGGCGGCUCACUGGCCCGGUACUGACGCUGAGGCACGAAAGCGUGGGGAGCAAACAGG